AGAAAUACUUAGUUGGUUAGUUAGUGUAGAUAGUGUAAUGAAGGCAUCAGGAGGGACAUUACUGGAUGAAGAAGAUUUGAUUGGAUUAUCGAUGUUUAGAUGAUUAUGUUGAUUUGACAAUUGUUCAAAAAAAUUUCACUUCAUCUGCAUGGUUGUAUUUAUUAUCUAUUGUAAAAGAAAAACAACAAAAGGGUGGAUAUAUUCUUUGUACAUACUGUAAUGUUUUUAUUACUACAGAAAAUGAUGAUGCUGUUGAAUGUGACUUUUGUUUGUUAUGGUGGCAUAUAAGUUGUAUCAAAUUAAAGAGCAAGCCAAAAGUUAAGCAUUGGUAUUGCAAAUCAUGCAGGUAAAACUGAACUUAUGUGUCAAUAUGUAUUUGUAGUUUUUGUUUAACAUGUAUUAGUUAUUAUGUAUAGUUUUCUCAAAUGUUUUGCAAUGAGAUAAACUGGGAUUUUUUUGGAAGUUCAGAAGGUAGAACACCUUGUAUGUAGAUACAUUAUGAUUUUGUUUGUUAUAUGUUUAUUGACUGUGACCUCAUAUUCAUGGUUCAGUGACUGGUUGAAAAAGAUGUAGUUGUUUAUCAUGUGAAAUACUGAUUAUGAGUAAAAGGAUAAAUAUAUUUGGUGUAUGGGAUCCUUGUUAGGUCUACAUGUCUUUCAGACAGGGUUCAUCUUACCUUGACCUCAUUUAUGAACAUGUUGUAAGCAAUGUAUCUGAUAUUUUAAAAUUAGUGAAAAAAUAUUUAAUUAGAGUUAUGCCACUUGGAAAUAAUAAUUUAUUGAAUAUUGCAUUGUAAGCUCUCACCAGCCUGCAUUUUUCUCUGAAUUAAUAUGAAAUUAAAAGAGAUUGUUCAUAUCAAUAAUUAUAUUUUAUUUAAAUGAGUUUUAAAUUCAGUGCCAAUCAACGAUUUAUACAUGAACUUUCAUCACUUCAACAGAUCAAUUAGAGACAUUAGACAUUAGAACAAAGUUCUUUUGUAUUUAUUUAAAGGGAUCCAAUAUCAACUGAUGUUACAGUGAUAUUUUAGCAUUGUUUUAAAUACAGAUAUUUUGUAGUUUU
rnacentral:lncRNA from 1 species